CAAGUCGAGCGAGAAAUUACUCAAUGAAUCUUCGGAAGAAUUGAAUAAUGGAAAGCGGCGGACGGGUGAGUAACGCGUGGGCAACCUGCCUUUCACAGAGGGAUAGCCAAAGGAAACUUUGAUUAAAACCUCAUAAAGCCGAAAUGUUGCAUAGCAAGACGGCCAAAGAUUUAUCGGUGAAAGAUGGGCCCGCGUCUGAUUAGUUAGUUGGUGGGGUAACGGCUCACCAAGGCGACGAUCAGUAGCCGACCUGAGAGGGUGAUCGGCCACAUUGGAACUGAGACACGGUCCAAACUCCUACGGGAGGCAGCAGUGGGGAAUAUUGCACAAUGGGCGCAAGCCUGAUGCAGCAACGCCGCGUGAACGAAGAAGGCCUUCGGGUCGUAAAGUUCUGUCCACAGGGAAGAAACAAAUGACGGUACCUGUGGAGGAAGCCCCGGCUAAAUACGUGCC
rnacentral:rRNA from 1 species